UUUUUGGAGGGCGGUAUUUAUUAGAUAACAAGCCAAUAUUCCUCUGGUCUAUUGUGGUGACUCAUAAUAACUGAUCGAAUCGCAAAGCUUAUGCUGCGAUAAGUCAUUCAAGUUUCUGCCCCAUCAGCUUUCGAUGGUAGUGUAUUGGACUACCAUGGCGUUUACGGGUAACGGAGAAUUAGGGUUCGAUUCCGGAGAGGGAGCCUGAGAAACGGCUACCACAUCUAAGGAAGGCAGCAGGCGCGUAAAUUACCCAAUCCUGAUUCAGGGAGGUAGUG
rnacentral:rRNA from 1 species